rnacentral:rRNA from 1 species
UCUCAGUUCGGAUUGAAGGCUGAAAUUCGCCUUCCAUGAAGCUGGAAUUGCUAGUAAUGGCAGGUCAGCAUACUGCCGUGAAUACGUUCCCGGGCCCUUGUACACACCGCCCGUCACACCAUGAGAGUUGGGAAUACCCGAAGCCUGUGAGCUAACUUUAGGAGGCAGCAGUCGAAGGUAGAAUCAAUGAUUGGGGUGAAGUCGUAACAAGGUACC